rnacentral:pre_miRNA from 9 species
UCUCGGAAGCGUAAAAAUUGACUCAACUUUGUAUGGAGUUGGAACGUUUGCUUACGUUUGCCGCUAAGGGCGCUGUUUCAACUGCGUACAGAUUUGAGUUAACUUUUACGCUAUCGA